UCCUACGGGAGGCAGCAGUGGGGAAUAUUGCACAAUGGGCGCAAGCCUGAUGCAGCCAUGCCGCGUGUGUGAAGAAGGCCUUCGGGUUGUAAAGCACUUUCAGUCGUGAGGAAGGUUUAUGCGUUAAUAGCGUAUAGAUUUGACGUUAGCGACAGAAGAAGCACCGGCUAACUCCGUGCCAGCAGCCGCGGUAAU
rnacentral:rRNA from 1 species